ensembl:lncRNA
UAAACCAAUAAGGCAAUAAACCAAUAAGGCAAUAAACCAAUAGAAAAUAAAUUAGAUACGUAUGUUCAUGUGUACGUUUUAUACAUACUUUUUGUUUAUGAUUAACAUAACAAAGAAGCUGGUAGCAACCAAAACAAAUGUCAGCACAGUUAUAACUAUAUGUACACAAAAAAAAAAAAAAAAUAAAUAAAAUAAAAUAUUAACAGUGUUGUUGCAAUAUACGCGUGUUAUAUUAUAUAAUAAAGCAUCCCACUCUAUAAUGUAUUUAUAUAUAUAUAUAUAUAUAUAUAUUAUAUAUGCAAAAAUGGACAAACGCACCCCGUACGUGUCUAAUUAUACUGCAAAACACUUCAACCUAUUUUUUUUUUUAAUUUGUAGGUAUUAUGAUGGUUUUUUAGUGUUAAGACAUAAAAAGCUGUAUUUGUGGAAAUUAGAAAAAACGUAUACAGGCUUGAAGAUCAAAGAAACUGGUUUAGAUAUUGAUUCGAAAUUACACGUAAACUGUUUUUGUGUUUAUGAAAAGAAUAUUUUUAUUAGUUUAUCAAACAAUAAGAUAUUAUUAUGGAAGGAUUUGGAUGAAAAGAAAGAAGUGGAAAUCACUAAUAAUAAUCAAAGCACACAUUACAACAUUAGUUAUAUACAUUAUUAUGAUAACUACAUAAUAACAAAAGAAGGGAAUUCAAUAAGACUAUGGAAAUGCUUGUUUGAUAUUUCAAACGUUUUAAAAUAUUCUAAAGAUAAACUAGAGAUAGAAUUAAAAAGUGAAAUUAAAGCAAACAUAAACAUUAAUAAAAUAAUAGUACAUAAUAAAUUUUUUUUAUAUAUUGAUAAAAAGAAUUAUACAGUUUAUAAAUCUUCUAAAAACAAUUUUGAUGAUAUGGGUAUAUUAUAUAACGAUCAUAAUAGUACAAUCGAAAAUUUAUAUUUUAAUAAUAGUAGUAGUAGUAAUAAUAAUAAUAAUAAUAAUAGUAGUAACAAUAAUAGUAAUAAUAAUAGUAGUAAUAAUAAUAAUAGUAAUAAUAAUAAUAGUAGUAACAAUAAUAGUAGUAAUAAUAAUAGUAGUAAUAAUAGUAUAUACAGUUUUGGACAUAAUGGUAAAAUAUAUUAUUAUGAAUAUAAUAAUAAAAAAAACGUUAAUGAAAUUGAUGGUAAUUAUUGUUUACACCAUUUUGAAAAACAUAUAAUAACAUGUUGUAAAUUUUUAUAUAAAGAAGAUAACUAUUUAUUUUUUUGUAUUGGUUUUAACGAUGGUAUAAUUAAAAUAAUAAAAAUGGGACCUUUUUAUUUAGAUAUAAUAUAUUGUUUAAAAACUAGUAAUUAUUCAAUUAAUAAAAUUGAAAAAAGUGAAAAUUGUGAUUAUAUAUGUAUAUUAUCUCUAUAUGAUCCUUAUGUUUUCUUUUUAUAUAAAAAUAUAAAUAAAUUUAAGCCAUUAGGCUAUUUAAAAAUAAAUGAAUGUACUGUUAAUAAUUGUUUCUACUUUUCUACUAUUAAUUGUUUUUAUUUAGUGGGUAGUCAUAAUUAUUUGUUUCAAAUCGAUAUAGAAUUAUUAAAAAAAGAGACUAAAAAUAGGUGUGAUUUUACUACUAUUAAUUCGGAAAAAGAACAACAAUUGGAUUUACAAAAUCAAAUAAAUAUGGGGAUAGGAGCAGUAGCGGUAUCGGGACUAGAGACAAGAACAGAUACACGAUCAGGUGUAGGGUCAAAUGUAGAGUACAGUGCAGAGUUAGAACCAAAAAACAGUAAUGUAUACGAUUUAUACAUUAACUAUGAUAUAAUUAAAAUAGAAUUUUUAAAUAUGUUUACUAAAAAAAGUAAUGGAAUAAUAAUGUGUAGUUAUGAUAAUAAUACUGAUUUUAAUUUUUUUAAUAACAAGUACAGAGAUACAAACAACACAUCGUCUAUGUUUAAAAAAACGAACCGUGACAGCUAUACAAAUGGUCAAAAUAGUAAACUGGGUACACAUGCAGCAAAUGCGAAAGAAAACAACGAAGCAAAUUUUGACAAAAAAAAUACUUACAAUAACGAAAACGACAACAAUAACGACAACGAUAACAAUAACGACAACGAUAACAAUAACGACAACGAUNNNNNNNNNNACGACAACGAUAACAAUAACGACAACGAUAACAAUAACGACAACGAUUACAACGACGACCAAAGUGAACAAGACACGAAGUACUCCUCUAGCGAUUUCAGUGAUGACACUUAUUUUAAAUUAAAUUUUUAUAAUGAUAAAAUGCGUUUAACAAAAGUUGUUGAAGAUGGUACCAAAAGCACAAACAAAAGUUUGGACAGUAAUUUUGAAAAUAAAAAAAAAAACUUAUCCAAAUUAAUUUCAAUUAUUUUUAAUAAAAAGAUUUUAAACAAUUUAAAUAAAAAAAAAAAAAAUUAUUACAGUAAUUGUUUAAGUAUUUAUUUUCAAAAAGAUAAAAUGAAAAAACUUUUAAAAGAAUAUACAAAUGAAUUAGCAAUGGAAAAAGAGCAAAAAGUUGAUAAUAAAAAAUGUACCCAUAAUAAUAAAACAGUUGAUGUUAUUUUACGACAAGAUAUUUAUAAAAAUGGAAUAUACGACACAAAUAAUGAUAAUAAUAAAAACAAACAAAAUUAUAAUGCCACACAUCGUACUCUAAGGAAUCAACAUAUACAAGAAAGAAAAAUACGUUGUAUACAGAAAAUAAAAAAUGAAGGUUUUUUUAUUACUACUAACGGUUUAACAAAUAAUUGUAUAUUAUAUUUAGCUGUUAAUCUUUUAUCAAAUAAUUUAAAAAUGUAUAAUAAUGACUGUAGGGAAAAAAAACAAAAAUAUAUAAUAACAACACAACCAAUUGUUAUUUAUAAGAUACCAAGAACACAUUUUACCAAAAAAAUGUUUAUACAAAAUAUGGAAAUAAAUGAAUAUAAUAAUAUAUUAAUCUGUCUAACAAACAAUAAUGAUCUUUACAUUUUUUCAUUAACAUGUUUUUUUCUUUAUUAUUAUAUUAAGUUACCAUAUUAUGAUAAAGUCAAAAAAGUAGUUUUAAAUAGUAACAACCGUAAUAAUAUAAAUAAAAAUAAUGAACAACAACAGAUAUUUAUUUGUUUACAUAAUAAAUAUGUUGGAUUACAAUUUUCCGUUCCACUUUUUCAUGCUUUUAAUAUGAUUCAAAGAUAUAAUUUAAAUAUACAAAAAUGGUUACACUUGCUUCUUGAUAACAAAUCGUAUGAUAUUGAAGAACAAAAUUUCGUACAUAAAUUUUUUAUAGAAGAAAUUUAUGAUUAUUUAAUUGGAAAAGUUACAAAAAAAAAAAAAAAUUUAAAAAAAAAAAUUAACUUAAUACCUUUUUCGUUUGAACAGCUAAAUGAUGAUUUAACAUUUUUAUCUAAUUUGUUAACAAAAAAAAAAAUUAUAACAGAACAAAAUGAGCAAAAUGAAAAAAAUGAGCAAAAUGAAAAGGGAACAAAAAUAAACAAAGAUGUUAGUACUAAUAAGGGCUCAGAUAUAUGGGACUUUAUACACACAUGUGGUACUUCUAAUAAUGACAUUGGGCAAAGUCGAACUAUCACCAAACUAGGUCAUAAAAAGGAGCCAGAAAAGGAGCAGGAAAAGGGACAAGAAGAACAAAAAAAAGAAGCAAAACAUGAGCGAGCGAACAAAAGAAUCGAAUUAAAAUUAAAUUAUAAUAGUGGAUCUUUAAACAAUAUUUUCAACCUAAAUACGAACGUAAUAGAUAAGGUUAUAUUAUACAGUUUAAGGGAAACUAAAUAUGCCAAAAAAAGAGAAGAAGACAUUAAAAGAGCUUUAUUGUAUAAACAAAAUAUGCACUUACAAAUUGAAAAAUUAAAAAAAAAAUAUGAUAAGCUAGCUAAAAAAAAAAAAUUUAUUAUAGACACUGAUUUUUCUUAUAUAGUGUAUAAAAAUUUAAAACAAAAAAUAGAACAAAUUAAAAAUGUUUUUAUUUAUAAUCAACAAUUAUGUGAUAAUCGAAUAAAAUAUUUUUCAAAUAUGUACUUACGAUUAAUGUUUUUUAAACAACCAUUACAAUCUUUUCAUUUUGACAAAACAAAACAUAUUACAACCAAAUCUAUUAAAAUGUAUUUAAAAAAUAAUAAAUAUCAAACAGUAAAAAAAUAUAAAAAAAAAAAAAAUACCAAAAAAACAACACAAGAUAAUUAUAACUUCCAAUCAGAAAUAAAUGAAUACUUAAAUGAGUUUAAUCAAUUAAAAAAAAAAAAUUUAAAUAAAAAAAAUAUAAACAGUGAGGAAAAAAUCGAAGAAAUAUGUUAUAAAAAAAAAAUCAUUAAAAUUUAUGAAAAUGUUUUAGCAAAUAUGGAAAAAACGAUGAAAAAUGAAGGAUCCCAAAAUCAAGAACAAAAAACCUUUACUCUUCGUAAAAUAUCUAGUAUAAAUCAAAUUGUUAGAAAAUUUGAAGAAGACAAACAAAAGUUAUUAAAUCAAAUCAAUUUUAUUAAGAAGACUUUUAACGAUGAAUUUUUUUUACUGAAAAUGCGUAUAUCGCAUGAAAUUGAAAAAUUAAGCCACGAAAUUGUAUUUACUGAAGAUGAUGAAUCUAAACAAGAAAAACCAAAACAAGAAAAACAAAACCAAACCAAUGAUAAGUUUACACUUACUAAUAAAGAAAUAACAAACUGUGAUAAAUCUGAAAAAAACAAAGAAAUAAAUUAUACUAAUGUAAUAGAUGUAUGUGAUUAUAAAAAAAUAAAUAAUAUGAAUGAACAAAAUAUUUUAACACGUGAUCUUAUAAACUUAUAUAUGGUAAAAAAAAAAAAUAAUAACAUAUUUAAUAUGUUUCCAAUAAAUCUAAGUUCUAAUUUUUUUGAAAAUAAGUAUGGUACAGCUAUAAGUUCUACUACCAGUAAUAAAAACACGAAUGGUAUAAAACGCUUAAACAAAAUGCUAAAUCAGUUUAACAAAGAAAUUAAUGUAUUGAAUACUAAACGGAUUGAAGCCAUUCGAAUGAUAAAAUACAUAUCUUUAAAAAUUUUAUCGAUUAAUGAAAAAAAUAGUAUACUUAAAGAAUUGAGAAAAAAAGAAUUAAAGUUAAAAAAUCAAAAAAAAGUAUAUACAAAAGAAAUACAAAAUAUUAAAAAUGAAGUAGAUAAUUGUACAAAUUCAACGCAAUUAUUGUUAGAAGAUCUGGAAAACCAAAAUGUAACCAACUACAUAUAGGCAUAUAAAUUA